GAAUCUUCCGCAAUGGACGAAAGUCUGACGGAGCGACGCCGCGUGGUGGAUGAAGUCUUUCGGGACGUAAACACCUUUUAUGAGGGAAGAAGUUUAUUGACAUUACCUCAUGAAUAAGGGGCUCCCAAUUCUGUGCCAGCAGGAGCGGUAAUACAGAAGCCUCGAGCGUUACCCGGAUUCACUGGGCGUAAAGGGUGCGUAGGCGGAUAUAUUAGUCGGGUGUUAAAUCCUGAGGCUCAACCUCAGGCUCGCAUUCGAAACGGUAUAUCUAGAAGAAGUCAGAGGUAUGCGGAACUCAAGGUGUAGGGGUGAAAUCCGUUGAUAUCUUGGGGAACACCAAAUGCGAAGGCAGCAUACUGGGACUCUCUUGACGCUGAGGCACGAAAGCCAGGGUAGCGAACGGG
rnacentral:rRNA from 1 species